AGAGUCGGCCAGACAGUCGCUGUGCGCCUUGCGCGCAUGGAGGAAAGUCCGGGCUCCAUCGAGCGAGGUGCCAGGUAACACCUGGGGGGCGCGAGCCCACGGAAAGUGCAACAGAAAGGAUACCGCCCAAGCGCCGCGAGGCGCCGGCAAGGGUGAAAUGGUGCGGUAAGAGCGCACCGCGACGCUGGUAACAGCGGCGGCAUGGCAAACCCCACCUGGAGCAAGACCAAAUAGGGAAGCGCGCGGUGCCUUUAGGCCGCAUCCCCGUGGCUCACGGGAGCUUCCGGGUAGGUCGCUCGAGGUACGCGGUGACGCGUAUCCCAGAGGAAUGACUGUCCUAGACAGAACCCGGCUUAACGGCCGACUCUCUAA
rnacentral:RNase_P_RNA from 1 species